rnacentral:rRNA from 1 species
CGUCUAUAUACGUAUAGCAUAUCAAUAAGCGGAGGAAAAGAAACUAACUAGGAUUCCCUCAGUAACGGCGAGUGAAGCGGGAAGAGCUCAAAUUUGAAAUCUUCAAGGUUCUACCUUGACGAAUUGUAGUUUAAAGAAGUGUUUUCUGUUGGAGUUUUGGUAAAAGUUCUUUGGAAUAGGACAUCAUAGAGGGUGAGAAUCCCGUAUUUGACCAUUAUUCUCAACUUUGUGAUACACUUUCAAAGAGUCGGAUUGUUUGGGAAUGCAGUCCAAAAUGGGUGGUAAAUUUCAUCUAAAGCUAAAUACUGGCGAGAGACCGAUAGCGAACAAGUACCGUGAGGGAAAGAUGAAAAGAACUUUGAAAAGAGAGUUAAACAGUACGUGAAAUUGUCAAAAGGGAAGCGUUUGACACCAGUGUUGUUUUCUCGAAAAUCAAUUAAAAAUGGCAGGAUUUUGUGUUGUAUUGACUUUAUCAGCUUUCUGCACUUUUUUCUUGUCUUUUUUAAUGCACUUUUCGUUUAACAAGUCAACAUCAAUUUCUUUUGCUGUAAAAGAGUCAUUGGAAGGUGGCUUUCACUUCGGUGAAAGUGUUUAUAGCCUUUGACUUCUGCAAGUCGGAGAGAUUGAGGUCUGCAGCGUAGAUCCUUCGGGGUUAGAUGCAUUUGUGCUAAGUUAUAGCCUUUUCAUAGACAACAUUGUUGACUAUGAUCAUCAUGUAGCUUACUCGCUUAUGUCAUUUUACCUACGCUUAGGAUGUUGACGAUCAGCUGAGCGCG